GAUGAACGCUGGAGGCGUGCUUAACACAUGCAAGUCGAACGAUGAAGCCCAGCUUGCUGGCUGGGUUAGUGGCGAACGGGUGCAUAACUCGUGAGUAACCUGCCCUUAACUCUGGUCUAAACCUGCGAAACUGGGUCGAAUACCGGGGGGGGGCGUCCACCGGCUGGUGGGUGUUGGAGAGUUUGAUCGGUUUUGGAUGGACUCGCGGCCUAUCAGCUUGUUGGUGAGGUAAUGGCUCACCAAGCCGACGACGGGUAGCCGGCCUGAGAGGGUGACCGGCCACACUGGGACUGAGACACGGCCCAGACUCCUACGGGAGGCAGCAGUGGGGAAUAUUGCACAAUGGGCGCAAGCCUGAUGCAGCGACGCCGCGUGAGGGAUGACGGCCGUCGGGUUGUAAACCUCUUUCAGUAGGGAAGAAGCGAAAGUGACGGUACCUGCAGAAGAAGCACCGGCUAACUACGUG
rnacentral:rRNA from 1 species